AAAUGUUAAAGUUCUUAUUUCAUGGUAUAACUUUGGUAUGCUUGGACCUAGAGUCUUCAAACUUGACAUGAAGGUUGGCCAGGAUUAACGGAUGACCACUGGUCAUUUCAAGGUCAUUCAUUUGAAGGUGAAGGUCACUGUGACCUUCAAUAUAAAAAUGUUAAAGUUGUUAUAACUUUGGUAUGCUUGGACCUAGAGUCUUGAAACUUGACAUGAAGGUUGGCCAGAACUAGUAAGUAACCACUGGACAUUUCAAGGUCAUUCAUUUGAAGGUCAAGGUCACUGUGACCUUGAAUGUAAAAAUGUUAAAGUUGUUAUAACUUUGGUAUGCUUGGACCUAGAGUC